rnacentral:sRNA from 1 species
AGCGCAAAGGAUGGCGCUACUCGGCAGGGAGCUGAGUCAGGGAUUUUCAGGAUGAUGAAGCCAGGAUGGCUGGACACGGAAAGCACAUAUGGAAUAAAGAGUGGGCGGGCUAUCCCGCCCCUUUUUUU